rnacentral:rRNA from 1 species
UGGCAUCGAGCUCACUCCCAACCCCUGUGACAUACCUAUUUGUUGCCUCGGCGGUGCCUGUUCCGACAGCCCGCCAGAGGACCCCAAACCCUGAUUACAUUUAAGAAGUCUUCUGAGUAAACCGAUUAAAUAAAUCAAAACUUUCAACAACGGAUCUCUUGGUUCUGGCAUCGAUGAAGAACGCAGCGAAAUGCGAUAAGUAAUGUGAAUUGCAGAAUUCAGUGAAUCAUCGAAUCUUUGAACGCACAUUGCGCCCGCUAGUAUUCUGGCGGGCAUGCCUGUCCGAGCGUCAUUUCAACCCUCAAGCCCCCGGGCUUGGUGUUGGGGAUCGGCGAGCCUCCGCGCCCGCCGUCCCCUAAAUCUAGUGGCGGUCUCGCUGUAGCUUCCUCUGCGUAGUAGCACACCUCGCACUGGGAAACAGCGCGGCCACGCCGUUAAACCCCCAACUUCUGAACGUUUGACCUCGGAUCAGGUAGGAAUACCCGCUGAACUUAAGCAUAUCAAAAGCCGGAGGAA